rnacentral:rRNA from 1 species
GGGGGGGGGGGGGGGGGGGCGGGGCGCGGGCAGGGCGAGCGGGAGCGGGGGGCAGGGUGCGGAGGAGUGGGGGAGGGGUGCGUAGUGGAGGGGAACGUGGCCGGUCGUGGGGGAUAGCUACUCGAAAGAGUAGCUAAUACCGCAUACGAUCUAUGGAUGAAAGCGGGGGACCGCAAGGCCUCGCGCGAUUGGAGCGGCCGAUGUCAGAUGAGGUCGUUGGUGGGGUAAAGGCGCACCAAGCCAACGCUCGGCAGCUGGUCUGAGAGGGCGACCAGCCACACUGGGACUGGGACACGGCCCAGACUCCUACGGGGGGCAGCAGUGGGGAAAUUUGGACAAUGGGCGCAAGCCUGAUCCAGCAAUGCCGGGUGGAGGAAGAAGGCCUUCGGGUUGUAAACUGCUUUUGUACGGAACGAAACGGCUCUGGUUAAUACCCGGGGCUAAUGACGGGACCGUAAGAAUAAGCACCGGCUAACUACGG